rnacentral:rRNA from 1 species
GACGAACGCUGGCGGCGUGCUUAACACAUGCAAGUCGAACGAUGAAGCCGGAGCUUGCUCUGGUGAAUUAGUGGCGAACGGGUGAGUAACACGUGAGUAACCUGCCCUUGACUCUGGGAUAACUGCGGGAAACUGUAGCUAAUACCGGAUACGACCCUCGGAGGCAUCUCCUGGGGGUGGAAAGAAUUUCGGUCAAGGAUGGACUCGCGGCCUAUCAGCUAGUUGGUGAGGUAACGGCUCACCAAGGCGACGACGGGUAGCCGGCCUGAGGGGGUAACCGGCCACACUGGGACUGAGACACGGCCCAGACUCCUACGGGAGGCAGCAGUGGGGAAUAUUGCACAAUGGGCGCAAGCCUGAUGCAGCAACGCCGCGUGAGGGAUGACGGCCUUCGGGUUGUAAACCUCUUUCAGUAGGGAAGAAGCGAAAGUGACGGUACCUGCAGAAAAAGCACCGGCUAACUACGUGCCAGCCGCCGCCGUAA